UACAGUGGAACCAAAGUUUGUUACAGAAA
rnacentral:piRNA from 1 species